rnacentral:lncRNA from 1 species
AUUUUCAGCCCAAGACACAAAGCCAGCUCAGACUUCUGAAUUUUUCCAUCCUUGUUCACGUCGCAGUGACGCAGGAGAAUCUCGCGGAACUUAUCAAGGUCCACCCCGCUGAUGCUGGGCUGAGGGCGACAAAAGUAACAUGUUAACAGGCAAGCCAAUGGUGUUCUCACCCUUUAACACCCUCUCUGAUGCUCCCUAAGCUUAGGGUGUCCUGCCUUGAAGGAGACAGGCCACAGGGAGUGAGGGAAUGAGUCUAUCGCCUCAUCCCACCAAAUGCUGCCAAGGAUAAGUUUUCUGCCAACAGCUUCAUUUCUCAGCAUGUCCCUUCAGGCCAAAAAACCUUUACUUCCACAUCACUUCCCUGCAGUUCUUAGAAAAAGACUGCCUUAUUAGCAACCAUAGUAAAGAUACUUUGCCGCAAAGUAGGCAAUUAUGAUCAUAAAUUUCUGCCUUGCUGCACUGAUGAGAGAAGACACAUUUCAUUAUCUCCUUGUAGGAGAUUUUUGUGCCUCUGGUUUAAAAAAAAAUGGUUAUACUGAAUGUAAAUUUAAAACAUGUGG